rnacentral:rRNA from 1 species
GACGAACGCUGGCGGCGUGCCUAAUACAUGCAAGUCGAACGCAUUUUCUUUUAUCGUAGUUUGCUACACCGAAAGAAACUGAGUGGCGAACGGGUGAGUAACACGUUGGUAACCUGCCCAUCAUCGGGGGAUAACACUUGGAAACAGGUUCUAAUACCGCAUAAUUCCAUUUAUCUCAUGUAAUAUGGGUGCAAGGCGCAUUUGCGUCCCUGCUGGAUGUUCCCUCGGUGCAUUUGCUAGUUGGUGGGGUAACGGCCUACCAAGGCUGCGAUGCAUACCCGGUAUGAGAGGGGGAUCGGCGACACUGGGAACGGGACACGGCCCAGAGGCCUGAGGGAGGCAGCAGUAGGGAAUCAGGGGCAAUGGACGCAAGACGGAACGAGCAACGACGCGUGAGGGGAGAAGGAUUUCGGAUCGUAAAACUCUGUUGUUAGAGAAGAAGAAGGAUGAGAGUGGAAAGUUCAGCCCUUGACGGUAUCUAACCAGAAAGCCACGGCUAACUACGUG